AACCUUAUGGACCUGCGGGCGUAUACCUGCGGAAGGAUCAUUACCGAGUUUACAACUCCCAAACCCCUGUGAACAUACCUAUAUGUUGCCUCGGCGGAUCAGCCCGCGCCCCGUAAAACGGGACGGCCCGCCGCAGGAUCCACAAACUCUGUUUUUAUUGUAACUUCUGAGUAACAAAACAAAUAAAUCAAAACUUUCAACAACGGAUCU
rnacentral:misc_RNA from 1 species